AUGAACGCUGGCGGCGUGCCUAAUACAUGCAAGUCGAGCGAACGGACGAGAAGCUUGCUUUUCUGAUGUUAGCGGCGGACGGGUGAGUAACACGUGGAUAACCUACCUAUAAGACUGGGAUAACUUCGGGAAACCGGAGCUAAUACCGGAUAAUAUUUUGAACCGCAUGGUUCAAAAGUGAAAGACGGUCUUGCUGUCACUUAUAGAUGGAUCCGCGCUGCAUUAGCUAGUUGGUAAGGUAACGGCUUACCAAGGCAACGAUGCAUAGCCGACCUGAGAGGGUGAUCGGCCACACUGGAACUGAGACACGGUCCAGACUCCUACGGGAGGCAGCAGUAGGGAAUCUUCCGCAAUGGGCGAAAGCCUGACGGAGCAACGCCGCGUGAGUGAUGAAGGUCUUCGGAUCGUAAAACUCUGUUAUUGGGGAAGAACAUAUGUGUAAGUAACUGUGCACAUCUUGACGGUACCUAAUCAGAAAGCCACGGCUAACUACGUG
rnacentral:rRNA from 1 species